UACGUAGGGGGCAAGCGUUGUCCGGAUUUAUUGGGCGUAAAGAGCGUGUAGGCGGUCAGGUAGGUCCGUUGUGAAAACUCGAGGCUCAACCUCGAGACGUCGGUUGAAACCAUCUGGCUAGAGUCCGGAAGAGGAGUGUGGAAUUCCCGGUGUAGCGGUGAAAUGCGCAGAUAUCGGGAAGAACACCCGUGGCGAAGGCGGCACUCUGGGACGGUACUGACGCUGAGACGCGAAAGCGUGGGGAGCGAACAGG
rnacentral:rRNA from 1 species